UACGAGUGCUCCAAGCGUUAUCCGGAAUCAUUGGGCGUAAAGGGUGUGUAGGCGGUCUUAUUAGUCUUCUGUCAAAACUCUUGGCUUAACCAAGAAUCUGCAGGGGAAACGGUAAGACUUGAGGAUGCGAGAGGUGAAUGGAACUCAUAGUGUAGGGGUGAAAUCCGUUGAUAUUAUGGGGAACACCAAAAGCGAAGGCAAUUCACUGGCGCACUCCUGACGCUGAAACACGAAAGCGUGGGUAGCGAAUGGG
rnacentral:rRNA from 1 species